AGUGAACGCUGGCGGUAGGCCUAACACAUGCCAGUCGAACGGCAGCACAGUAAGAGCUUGCUCUUACGGGUGGCGAGUGGCGGACGGGUGAGGAAUACAUCGGAAUCUACUUUUUCGUGGGGGAUAACGUAGGGAAACUUACGCUAAUACCGCAUACGACCUACGGGUGAAAGCAGUGGAUCUUCGGACCUUGCGCGAUUGAAUGAGCCGAUGUCGGAUUAGCUAGUUGGCGGGGUAAAGGCCCACCAAGGCGACGAUCCGUAGCUGGUCUGAGAGGAUGAUCAGCCACACUGGAACUGAGACACGGUCCAGACUCCUACGGGAGGCAGCAGUGGGGAAUAUUGGACAAUGGGCGCAAGCCUGAUCCAGCCAUACCGCGUGGGUGAAGAAGGCCUUCGGAUUGUAAAGCCCUUUUGUUGGGAAAGAAAAGAAGCAGGUUAAUACAUGGCUGUUCUGACGGUACCCAAAGAAUAAGCAACGGCUAACUUCGUG
rnacentral:rRNA from 1 species